GGAAUCUGGGAGGACCAUCUCCUAAGGCUAAAUACUCUCUAGUGACCGAUAGUGAACCAGUACCGUGAGGGAAAGGUGAAAAGCACCCCGGAAGGAGAGUGAAAUAGAACCUGAAACCGUGUGCUUACAAGUAGUCAGAGCCCGUUAAUGGGUGAUGGCGUGCCUUUUGUAGAAUGAACCGGCGAGUUACGAUUUGAUGCAAGGUUAAGCAGUAAAUGUGGAGCCGUAGCGAAAGCGAGUCUGAAUAGGGCGUUUAGUAUUUGGUCGUAGACCCGAAACCAGGUGAUCUACCCUUGGUCAGGUUGAAGUUCAGGUAACACUGAAUGGAGGACCGAACCGACUUACGUUGAAAAGUGAGCGGAUGAACUGAGGGUAGCGGAGAAAUUCCAAUCGAACCUGGAGAUAGCUGGUUCUCUCCGAAAUAGCUUUAGGGCUAGCCUCAAGUGAUGAUUAUUGGAGGUAGAGCACUGUUUGGACGAGGGGCCCCUCUCGGGUUACCGAAUUCAGACAAACUCCGAAUGCCAAUUAAUUUAACUUGGGAGUCAGAACAUGGGUGAUAAGGUCCGUGUUCGAAAGGGAAACAGCCCAGACCACCAGCUAAGGUCCCAAAAUAUAUGUUAAGUGGAAAAGGAUGUGGCGUUGCCCAGACAACUAGGAUGUUGGCUUAGAAGCAGCCAUCAUUUAAAGAGUGCGUAAUAGCUCACUAGUCGAGUGACACUGCGCCGAAAAUGUACCGGGGCUAAACAUAUUACCGAAGCUGUGGAUUGUCCUUUGGACAAUGGUAGGAGAGCGUUCUAAGGGCGUUGAAGCAUGAUCGUAAGGACAUGUGGAGCGCUUAGAAGUGAGAAUGCCGGUGUGAGUAGCGAAAGACGGGUGAGAAUCCCGUCCACCGAUUGACUAAGGUUUCCAGAGGAAGGCUCGUCCGCUCUGGGUUAGUCGGGUCCUAAGCUGAGGCCGACAGGCGUAGGCGAUGGAUAACAGGUUGAUAUUCCUGUACCACCUAUAAUCGUUUUAAUCGAUGGGGGGACGCAGUAGGAUAGGCGAAGCGUGCGAUUGGAUUGCACGUCUAAGCAGUAAGGCUGAGUAUUAGGCAAAUCCGGUACUCGUUAAGGCUGAGCUGUGAUGGGGAGAAGACAUUGAGUCUUCGAGUCGUUGAUUUCACACUGCCGAGAAAAGCCUCUAGAUAGAAAAUAGGUGCCCGUACCGCAAACCGACACAGGUAGUCAAGAUGAGAAUUCUAAGGUGAGCGAGCGAACUCUCGUUAAGGAACUCGGCAAAAUGACCCCGUAACUUCGGGAGAAGGGGUGCUCUUUAGGGUUAACGCCCAGAAGAGCCGCAGUGAAUAGGCCCAAGCGACUGUUUAUCAAAAACACAGGUCUCUGCUAAACCGUAAGGUGAUGUAUAGGGGCUGACGCCUGCCCGGUGCUGGAAGGUUAAGAGGAGUGGUUAGCUUCUGCGAAGCUACGAAUCGAAGCCCCAGUAAACGGCGGCCGUAACUAUAACGGUCCUAAGGUAGCGAAAUUCCUUGUCGGGUAAGUUCCGACCCGCACGAAAGGCGUAACGAUUUGGGCACUGUCUCAACGAGAGACUCGGUGAAAUCAUAGUACCUGUGAAGAUGCAGGUUACCCGCGACAGGACGGAAAGACCCCGUGGAGCUUUACUGUAGCCUGAUAUUGAAAUUCGGCACAGCUUGUACAGGAUAGGUAGGAGCCUUUGAAACGUGAGCGCUAGCUUACGUGGAGGCGCUGGUGGGAUACUACCCUAGCUGUGUUGGCUUUCUAACCCGCACCACUUAUCGUGGUGGGAGACAGUGUCAGGCGGGCAGUUUGACUGGGGCGGUCGCCUCCUAAAAGGUAACGGAGGCGCUCAAAGGUUCCCUCAGAAUGGUUGGAAAUCAUUCAUAGAGUGCAAAGGCAUAAGGGAGCUUGACUGCGAGACCUACAAGUCGAGCAGGGUCGAAAGACGGACUUAGUGAUCCGGUGGUUCCGCAUGGAAGGGCCAUCGCUCAACGGAUAAAAGCUACCCCGGGGAUAACAGGCUUAUCUCCCCCAAGAGUUCACAUCGACGGGGAGGUUUGGCACCUCGAUGUCGGCUCAUCGCAUCCUGGGGCUGUAGUCGGUCCCAAGGGUUGGGCUGUUCGCCCAUUAAAGCGGUACGCGAGCUGGGUUCAGAACGUCGUGAGACAGUUCGGUCCCUAUCCGUCGUGGGCGUAGGAAAUUUGAGAGGAGCUGUCCUUAGUACGAGAGGACCGGGAUGGACAUACCUCUGGUGUACCAGUUGUCGUGCCAACGGCAUAGCUGGGUAGCUAUGUGUGGACGGGAUAAGUGCUGAAAGCAUCUAAGCAUGAAGCCCCCCUCAAGAUGAGAUUUCCCAACUUCGGUUAUAAGAUCCCUCAAAGAUGAUGAGGUUAAUAGGUUCGAGGUGGAAGCAUGGUGACAUGUGGAGCUGACGAAUACUAAUCGAUCGAAGACUUAAUCAA
rnacentral:rRNA from 1 species